rnacentral:lncRNA from 1 species
CUUGCACCCCGCUGGGCAAAGUACCCGGGGCUGUCACACGGCGAGCUGAGCCCUGGGCCGGCGGGUGAGGUUCCCCAAGCGGCGAUGCCCCUGGCUCCCUGUUCCGCCAUUGCGAGCCGUUAGGGCCAAGCUGGAGGGAGGGCGGCGAGGCGCGGCUGCCGAACAGCAAGCCAUUGGAGAGUCCUGAGCAGAGAAAGGACUGACCUGCCUCAUGUUUUAAAUCUGGCUGCCGUAUUGGAAGUAGAUUGGAGGAAAAAAAAGUGGAAGCCCUGGGACCCACCAUCAUGAACAAUCGGGGAGAAGACAAGAGGCCAGCAAAGGAAUGAACACAGGGACGCAUGAGACAUUUGGUGCCGAAGACCUGGGUCAGCGGGACUCCUUUGGGAGACCAGUCCCCCAUCCUCACCCUCACUCUGUGAAGAGAUCCACCUACGACCUUGGGUCCUCAGACCAACCAGCCUAAGGAACAUCUCACCUAUUUUAAAUCGGACAGGAAUGUCAGGCCUCUGAACCCAAGCUAAGCCAUCA